rnacentral:tRNA from 1 species
UGGCUCAGAUGGUAAAGCGUCUGCCUAUAAUGCAGGAGACCCGGGUUCUAUCCCUGG